rnacentral:rRNA from 1 species
UACGUAGGGUGCGAGUGUUACUCGGAAUUACUGGGCGUAAAGCGUGCGCAGGCGGUUUUGUAAGCCAGAUGUGAAAUCCCCGGGCUUAACCUGGGAAUGGCAUUUGGGACUGCAAGGCUUGAGUGCGGCAGAGGAGACUGGAAUUCCUGGUGUAGCAGUGAAAUGCGUAGAUAUCAGGAGGAAUACCGAUGGCGAAGGCAGGUCUCUGGGCUGACACUGACGCUCAUGCACGAAAGCGUGGGGAGCAAACAGG